CAUACUUCGAACUGAAACUCAAAAAUUUUUUUUUCAUCAAACCCAUACGUGUGGGUUAUCAUGGAUAGGUCUUCAAAAAUGAUAUUGAGGUUUCUAAUAUCAUUUUUUUCUAAACUGAAUAGUUUGCGCGAGAGACACUUCCAAAGUGGUAAAAUGUGUGUCCCCCCCCCUAAAUGAUGAAUGUGGGCUGAAAAUGAGUGGGUUACCCGUCAAAUGUCUUCUUUACGCUGAUGAUCUGGUACUACUAGCGUCAUCGGGCGAGGAGUUGCAGGAGAUGGUAACUAGAAUGCAUGGGUCUUUUGAAAGGAAAGGAAUGAAAAUUAAUGUAAGCAAGACGAAAGUAAUGGUAUUUGAAAAGGAAGAAAAUAUGACUAACUGUGAGAUUUUGAUUGGUCAAGAAAGAGUGCAACAAGUGAAAGAGUUUGUGUAUCUGGGAACCUUGUUCACUAGGGACGGUAA